rnacentral:rRNA from 1 species
UACGUAGGGUGCAAGCGUUGUCCGGAAUUAUUGGGCGUAAAGAGCUCGUAGGCGGUUUGCCGCGUCUGCUGUGAAAAUCCAGGGCUUAACCCUGGACCUGCAGUGGGUACGGGCAGACUAGAGUGGCGGUAGGGGAGAUCGGAAUUCCUGGUGUAGCGGUGAAAUGCGCAGAUAUCAGGAGGAACACCGGUGGCGAAGGCGGAUCUCUGGGCCGUAACUGACGCUGAGGAGCGAAGCAUGGGGAGCGAACAGGAAUUAGACUACCG